rnacentral:rRNA from 1 species
AGAGUUUGAUCAUGGCUCAGGACGAACGCUGGCGGCGUGCCUAACACAUGCAAGUCGAGCGGAGCUAAUAGCAAUAUUAGCUUAGCGGCGGACGGGUGAGUAACGCGUGGGCAACCUGCCUCAAACAGGGGGAUAACACAGGGAAACUUGUGCUAAUACCGCAUAAGAUCGUAGAUAGACAUCUAUUAGCGAUCAAAGGAGCAAUCCGGUUUGAGAUGGGCCCGCGUCCAAUUAGCUAGUUGGUGAGGUAACGGCCCACCAAGGCGACGAUUGGUAGCCGAACUGAGAGGUUGAUCGGCCACAUUGGGACUGAGACACGGCCCAGACUCCUACGGGAGGCAGCAGUGGGGAAUAUUGCGCAAUGGGGGAAACCCUGACGCAGCAACGCCGCGUGAAGGAUGAAGGUUUUCGGAUUGUAAACUUCUUUGAUGAGGGACGAAAGAAAUGACGGUACCUCAAAAACAAGCCACGGCUAACUACGUGCCAGCAGCCGCGGUAAUACGUAGGUGGCGAGCGUUGUCCGGAAUUACUGGGUGUAAAGGGCGUGUAGGCGGGGAGACAAGUCAGAUGUGAAAUACCGAGGCUUAACUUCGGGGCUGCAUCUGAAACUGUUUUUCUUGAGUGUCGGAGAGGAAAGUGGAAUUCCCAGUGUAGCGGUGAAAUGCGUAGAUAUUGGGAGGAACACCAGUGGCGAAGGCGACUUUCUGGACGACAACUGACGCUGAGGCGCGAAAGCGUGGGGAGCAAACAGGAUUAGAUACCCUGUAGUCCACGCCGUAAACGAUGGAUACUAGGUGUAGGAGGUAUCGACCCCUUCUGUGCCGGAGUUAACACAAUAAGUAUCCCACCUGGGGAGUACGGCCGCAAGGUUGAAACUCAAAUGAAUUGACGG